GCUCCAGUGGCGUAAUGGCAGCCGCGCCGCACUCAAAAUGCGGUGUCCGUAGGACGUGCGAGUUCGAGUCUCGCCUGGAGUA
rnacentral:tRNA from 1 species